rnacentral:lncRNA from 1 species
CCCAUCUUUCGUUUGUUGUGCUCACCAUACUGGCAGCUUCUCCAAUUUCUAUUAUUCGAUUCUUUUUAUUUUUUCCGAAAGUCUUGUUGACCGUCGCUUCUAUAAAUUGCUGCAUUAUAAAUAAAAAAAUAAAAGAAACGAAAUAUAAUUAAAAUAAUCAAUGGAACUUACAAAUGGAGUCAUUGAUUCAGAUUCAGCCCACGAUUUUGCCUCUGGACUUUUGAUAAAUUCCGUGGCUUCA